CAUUCAACUACCUAUUCAACAUCUCCUACAGGAAUCUAAAACUGAACACAUUCACAAUGGAACUCUUGGUUUUUACCCUCCUCACUUGUCCCUGCCUUCCACCUCCCAUGUCCUUCUCCUCGUGGUAAAUGGCAUCAUGACUCAUCCAGGCUUUACCUGGAAACCAUGGAGCAGAAGAAGGUCUUGCAAAGGAGGUGAUCAUAGCAAGAUGUGUUCAACACAAGCCUAUGGGAUCCAGGUCAGUGUGAGGCUGCCUUUGGAAAUACUGGAGAUGGAAAUAGAAGACUGCAAUGUAGCAUCGCCUGGCGCAGUUCAUGAACAAGCUGGGAAGCACUGAGGUUCAGUUGCAGAAAACAGAACAGGAUUUAAUGCCGAAAAUGAAAAUCAGUGAAGCUGGAGGAGGAGGCUAACUCCCAGAAUAACUCCCAGAACCACACUGCAGCACUGGCCCACCGAGAGACCCGCUCCCCCCUUUGCUACAGUCAAGAUGUCAGACUCACACCCACCCGUUAGCUCCAAGAGCACACCAUCUUGAUGUGAUCUAGGAAUGAGAAGUUGCCACCAGAAUUCUUAGCUCCAGGAGAACACUCCUUCUUAUCUAUCACCUCUGGAUCAGGACACUGAUGCUAGAACUGUCAGCUCCAGAGUUUCAUCACAUCUGCUACACCUCCACAAAAUGAAUGCCUCGGGCAUCACCUUUUCUCCUAUUUAAUUGAGUUUGAAAUAAAGUUUCACAGGAGUGCAUCCUAUUGGCAAAACAUAUUUACAUUGAGGAUCCUAGUUGCAAGGGAGCUUGGGAAACAAGAAUCCUGAGUUUUCCAGCCUCGCUAGUAUAGGAUGAGACACUAAAAAGAGAUAAGAAUAGAUGCUGGAUGAGCCAACUGACUGUACCCAACCACUUCCCAACAUAGUGAAUAAUAUUGAAUCAUUCUUAUGAUCCUAUGGAGAAAAGUAUUUUUCUUUUCAUUUCUCAGAGAUGCUGCUAGAUUUCAUUUGCUAAAACUUCAGUAAACGUCUUUUGCAUCAAUAUUCAUAAUUGAUUUUUGUCAGGAAUUUUGUGUGCAAUUACUGUCAGUUUUGAGUAAGAAGCAUAUGUCACUUUUAUUAUUAGAAUCCGGAAUUUUCUUCAUUUUGUCUCUGUCCUAGAAAAAUUUUAAAAACAUUAGAGCCUACUUAUUCCAUAAUAUUUGGUAAAAUUAACCCGUGAAGCCCUCUGGGCCUGGUGGUCUUUGGGAGCCUAUCAUUUUGACAACUUUUUCCUUUUUCUUAGGUUUGUAAUGUUUAAUGCUUGAAUUUUUAAUUUACCAAUUUUGGAAAAUUGUCUUUUCUUAGAAAAAUUUUUUUAUUUAGAUUUUCACAUUUAUUUGCAGACAAUUGAGCAAAGUAGUCUUAUAAAUUCUUUUUUUGUGUUUUUUAAUGUUAUUUGUGCUGCCUUAAUUUUAAUUCUUGAUCAGUUUAGCUAGUGGAUUUAUCUAUCUUAAUUUGUUAAAUUUAUUCAUUGAAAUCACCAUUUAUCUGUUUUUUAUUUUAUAUUUUUAGCUUUAACACUUCUUAAUUCAUGUUUCCUUCAUUCCUUUUUGUUUGUUUGUUGAUUUCCUCCUAAGCUGGGUGGUUAAUUCAUUUAUUUUUAUUCUUUCUUAUUUAUUAAUGUAAUUACUGAAAUGCUAAUUUUCUUGUGAGGAUUGCUUUAGCUAUAAUCUAUGGAUACUAAUAUGUAAUGUCACUAAUGUUUUCUAAUUCAAUUGCAGUUUUAUUUUUUAUAUUCUCUUUGACUCUAGAGUUUUAAGAGAGUUUUAAAAUUCUAGGUAAUUCGGUCUUUUUGUCUUCUCAAUUAGUUUGCUUGUGACCAGAGAAUUAUAUCUGCCUUAUUUCUGCUAUUUGGCAUUUACUGAGGAUUUGUGGCCUAAAUAUAUGGCCUUUUUUGUGUGAAUGUUUCAUGAAUGUUAAAAAAGAAGGUAUAGUCCCUGUUUUCAAUGAAUAUAGUUCAAUAUGUUAGAUCUAUCUUAUAAAUUUAGAUUUACCUUAUAAAAUAUGUCAUUUAAUCCACUCUAUCUUGAGAGCACCCCCUUAUUCUGCCCUUCUCCAGAUAGUCUCCCCAUGGCUUGGCAGCCUUAAGAGGUAGAACAGUUCUGCAAUCUGUCUGACAGCUAUGAUCCCAAGCUAUGCCAAGAGAGUGAACAUACUGCCUCCCAAACUAAGAACCAGUCCUUGCAGAAAUAUUGAUAGGAAAUAGAUCCACAAGAACUAGUCCUUAUCUCUCACUCAUUUACAUUUACCAGCAGUCACAUCAAGAACACACUUGACUGGUUUGGCUCAGUGGAUAGAGUGUCAGCCGCAGACUCAAGGGUCCCAGGUUCGAUUCUGGUCAGGGGCAUGUACCUUGGUUGCGGGCACAUCCCCAGUGGGGAGUGUGCAGGAGGCAGCUGAUGGGUGUUUCUCUCUCAUUGAUGUUUCUGACUCUCUAUCCUUCUCCCUUCCUCUUUGUAAAAAAAUCAAUAAAAAAAUAUUUAAAAAACACACACACGCUUGAAUUUACAAAUUUGCCAAAACCAAAACCUUUCCUUUCUUGUUUUUCCUUUCAUUUUUGAUCCCACCAAAGUUUCUACCAGAUACUUUCCUCAGACUGCUCUCUAACACCAUCUGUGCAGUCUCCCAAUACUGCCUACUUCCAAGCUCAAAUCAGAGUAGUAUUUCCACUUCCAUGUACUUCCCUAUCCUUGGCAACCUGGUUUGGUAUCUGCAGUCUAUCCCUGGUAAUGGUGCUAAUACUUGUUAAUUUUUUGUUGCCAGUGUGAGCAAGCCAUAAAAUAUUUCUGUGCUCCAAAUUA